GCCCUGCAUCCUGGGCAGCCAGCUGGUGGGGGUGGCUUGUCUGCGUCUCACACGGCAGUUCUUCACUGACUCAGGGAUGCCCUGGCUUAGAGACGUGCUCUGCCCCCAUCUAAGGCCCUAUUCCCCCAAAAUGUUACUGAAGUGUGGACAGGUUCCGAGGCGGGAACCUCCCCUCAGGACAGGCAUGGGACGGCAUGUGAACAGGCGGAGGAGGGUCCUGAGUGGGUGGCUGCUGACCCAGGGACCACCUCUGGAGAAAAGCUGGGGCUCCCUCAGGUGGCCCUAGAAGCACACACCUCCCCGGGAAAAGCCGCAGCGCCGAGGGGACUGCAGAUGGCCUCGGCGUCUCUUCCCGCAGAGGGUGACCCUGAUCCGGUUUAACUGCAGUACACGCUGCGAACCCCGCAGACGUGCCUGGAGCCAGGUCUGGGCCCCACAUGAUGCCCAUGACAGAUCAAACCUGUCUGAUGCCCCGGUUUGCUCUGAGAAGCUGACAGAAGGAAGCCUCAGCCCCUUGCAGAGCCCACCUGCCACUGCCAGGCCCCCAUCACGGGCGUGGGCGUGGGCGUGGGCGUGGGCGCCAGGGCUGGGUGGGCACCCCUGUCCUGUAGACCAUUCUGGAACAUUCCACCUGAGAUCCCCGGUGUCUCGCUGGCCUGUUUCUCACCCCCUCCAGCUAGUGGCAGGUGCCAGCCUCCCUUUCUGGCCAGCUGCUGCGCUGUGGGAGGUGUCUAGGGCUGAGCAGGCAGAGAGAGCAUCUACUGCCAAGGACAAAGUCUGGGGUCAGGAUCCAGUUGCAUGGGCUUCAGGUGCCCCCAGAAGUCACACCUCGACCGGGAAGAACGCAGGUGAUGGUCGCAGUGGCCACGUCCUGCUGGGUAACAAACAGCCCUUCACUCGGCAGCUCCUCAGCACAGCCUCUGUGGUGUCUGUGUCUGGGCGUGGCUCAGCCAGGAGCUCUGACCCGGGGGCUGCUGGCCUCUCAGAGGCCUCCCGGCAGGCAGCGUGGAGGGCCCUUGGUGACCUCAUCUUGGAAAUGAUAUCCCCGCUCUCUGCUGCGUCUAUUUCCUACUCGGGAAGAAGAGCCGCCAGGCCCAGCCCACACCAGGUGGGAGGCCACAGGGCCCCCCCAGGGGCUGCCAGCCACAGCCUGACUUCCACCGACAGACCCGCGCUUCGCCUCUGGCCCCGUGCACGCCUGUCAGGACGCCGAGGGAGCCUCACUUCCCCAUUCAGGAGAGGAGGAGGGAGGCCCGGUGAGUCGCCGGGGAUGCAGCGGGGCUUGCCAAAACCUUCUGCUGCAGACGGAUGUGCAGAGCCUGGACAGGAGGAUGGGCUGACCGGGCUCAGUGUAGCCAGGGUGUGGCUCACACCAGGCGUGGCCGGUGGUAUGGAUAGGAGUCCCUGUGAG
rnacentral:lncRNA from 1 species